rnacentral:rRNA from 1 species
AUGCCUUCCAAGGAUUAUGCCUUACAUCGCAAAAAGGCGAAGAAUUAUGUCUUACAAGGGAAGUUCGAUCUUACAGCGGCAGAGAAGACGGAAAUAGAUGUGCUUGACGAGAAAAUUCGACCUAAAAUCCCCAUGCUUGUGGUAAGGAUGAAGAAGACCAAUGUGAAACAAUACCCUGAUCUGGCAAUACUUAAGGACUAUGCAGUCAAUCACUUUCCUAGCAAAAGUCAAAAGAUCACACUCAAGCUACAUGGGAAGAGUAAGGAAUGGCUGUGCGAUUUUCGCAGAAUACCUGAUGAAAAGGGACACCACCUCUAUUUGCACGAGUUUGUCCAUGACAAUAAUGUGCGGGAGGGUGAUCUCUGCCUCUUUCAACCAAUGACGAAGGGUGAUGUAAGAAACUUCAAGGUGACAGUCCAUCACCUUCGUGAAGCAAGCGCUGAUCAUUCCCCUGUUGAAAGAAAUGAUAUUGGCAUAAAUGAUGUGACUAUUCAAGAAAGAAGUGCAGAUUCAGUUGAUAUACGAAGCAGCUCUGAUGAUCAUACCAAACAACCAUCAGGAAGAAAAAUAUAUCCUAGCUGUCAGAGGGGUAGCUCAAGGGAUCAUCAAAAUACUGCAAAACCCACUUCCUUUGAGAAAUCAGGAGACAACAGUCCUUUAGCAUGCAAUUCUAUUGAGUCCGAUGAUCGUCGAACACCUCGAGGACAUAAUUAUGCGCUAUCACUUGGCAGUUGUCUAUCUGGGGCACAAUAUGAGAAAGUGAUUGCGCUUGUAGAGAGAAUUCAACCCGAGGCUGCUGUAUACGUUGAUGUCAUGAGUCAGCAUGCUGUUGAACCACCUAGUCCUCUACUGAUCAUUCCUGAGGAACAUGCAAUUGCACACUUUCCAAAUGAAAGUGUGACUAUUGCACUUCAAGCGCCAGACAAAAAGAGCAAGAAGUGGCAUCCCAGAUUCUACAUGACAAAAGAUAGAUGUGAGUACAUGCUUACAGGGCAUUGGUUAGACUUUGUCUGUGACAACAGUGUGCAGGAAGGGGAUAUCUGCAUCUUUGUACCGGAAAAGGGCGGGGCGAGGAGAUCCAAGUUUACCGUUCAUCUAGUUCGUGGAGAAACAACUCAUUCGGGAGGUGGAACUGAUGGUGUUCAAGGGGCUGGUUCAGGCGAGGGUAAAACAAAUACAAAGAGAAAAUGCUCCCUCGGAAAGCGACAUGCAUAG